UACGUAGGGUGCGAGCGUUUAAUCGGAAUUGCUGGGCGUAAAGCGUGCGCAGGCGGCUUCGCAAGUCAGGCGUGAAAUCCCCGGGCUUAACCUGGGAAUGGCGUCUGAAACUACGGAGCUGGAGUGUGGCAGAGGGAGGUAGAAUUCCACGUGUAGCGGUGAAAUGCGUAGAUAUGUGGAGGAAUACCGAUGGCGAAGGCAAUCCCCUGGGCCUGCACUGACGCUCAUGCACGAAAGCGUGGGGAGCAAACAGG
rnacentral:rRNA from 1 species